rnacentral:rRNA from 1 species
CGAGUCGAGAGGGUUCGGCCCUCGGCUGACUGCUCAGUAACACGUGGAUAACUUGCCCUCAGGUAGGGGAUAAUCUCGGGAAACUGAGGAUAAUACCCUAUAAACAUCCUUUGCUGGAAUGCUUGGAUGUUCAAAGGCAACGCCUGAGGAUAGGUCUGCGGCCUAUCAGGUUGUAGUGGGUGUAACGGACCCACUAGCCCGCGACGGGUACGGGCCUUGAAAGAGGUAGCCCGGAGAUGGACUCUGAGACACGAGUCCAGGCCCUACGGGGCGCAGCAGGCGCGAAAACUUCGCAAUGCGGGAAACCGUGACGAGGGAAUUCCGAGUGCUCAUACAAUGUAUGGGCUUUUCUGAUGUGUAAAAAGCAUGAGGAAUAAGGGCUGGGUAAGACCGGUGCCAGCCGCCGCGGUAAUACCGGCAGCUCUAGUGGUAGCCACUAUUAUUGGGCCUAAAGCGUCCGUAGCCGGUCAGGUAAAUCCUUGGGUAAAUCGUACAGCUUAACUGUGCGGCUUCCGGGGAGACUGCUUGACUUGGGACCGGGAGAGGUUGGAGGUACACCUGGGGUAGGGGUGAAAUCCUGUAAUCCUAGGUGGACCACCGGUGGCGAAGGCGUCCAACCAGAACGGCUCCGACGGUGAGGGACGAAGGCUAGGGGCGCAAACCGGAUUAGAUACCCGGGUAGUCCUAGCUGUAAACGCUGCAGACUUGGUGUUGGAGAUCCUACGAGGGUGUCCAGUGCCGGAGAGAAGUUGUUAAGUUUGCCGCCUGGGAAGUAUGGCCGCAAGGCUGAUACUUAAAGGAAUUGGCGGGA